UACAGAGGUCCCAAGCGUUGUUCGGAUUCACUGGGCGUAAAGGGUGCGUAGGCGGUCGGAUAAGUCUGAUGUGAAAUCUCCGGGCUUAACCCGGAAAUGGCAUUGGAUACUAUUCGGCUUGAGGUCUGGAGGGGGGACUGGAAUUCUCGGUGUAGCAGUGAAAUGCGUAGAUAUCGAGAGGAACACCAGUGGCGAAGGCGAGUCUCUGGACAUUUCCUGACGCUGAGGCACGAAAGCCAGGGGAGCAAACGGG
rnacentral:rRNA from 1 species